UAGAACAAGAGGUCUCUGGUCUUGGAGCC
rnacentral:piRNA from 1 species